CGGAAAUUCGGCACAUCGGCACUUUGACACUUCGGAAAUUCGGUAAUUUCGGAACUUUGGGACCUCGGCAAUUCGGCAAUUCGGACAUUUGGAAGUACCCGAAUGUCCGAAUUGCCCAAAAUUAGUCUGAAUUUAUAUUCGGACCGAAACGAAUUGCAUAUGUCUAGUGUUUGGGUAGCUUGUUGGUACAGCAUGUUCCAGUACCUGCCAAUAUCCAGCAACUUCGCACAGCCAUUGAUGAGGCCAUUGAUGAGGAGUGGACCAACAUGCCACAGGCCACAAUCAACAAGCUGAUCAACUUUAUGCGAAGGAGAUGUGUU